rnacentral:lncRNA from 1 species
AAAAAAGACGGGUGUAAUUGUAUAACCAAGAAAAAUAUCCUGAACAAACUGAAAUAAACAAAAUAGUAAUCUAACACGAGAUACAAAGUUUCAAGAAAUUUAAUCAGUAAUAUGGUAGGAUAUUACAGCACACACAACUAUAGAAGUAUUGAGAAAAAAACUUCAGAGCCCAAAGAGUCUAUUGUAGAAUUUGUGCAAACUGGAAUUCCUGUCCUGACAAUAUGCACAUAUUGACUCUGUGAUGCAAC